UUACUCCCAAUAGUCACCCAGUAGUCAAAAGUUUGGCUAUGUGAGACUGUUUCCUUCCCUGCUGUCUGUCUGUCUCUCUCUUAUUCUCUCACUUCUCCCUUCUCAUCAGGGGUCAGCUGCACCAGCAGCGCUGUGAAGAGUGAACUUUGGUUAGUGAGGAGACUCAAGCCAAGAUGACCCGCAUGGCAGUGGCUGCAGCAUGGGGAUUGGUGCAUUGACAAAGCCAGAGAUCUGCUGGAUGCUCAGCUCACCACCAUUAUUGGAGACAGUUACAGUAGAGAAUAUGGGGCCAUGGUGUCCUAUCAGGUGUUGUCUUAGAUAGAGGAGGUGAUAUAAACUGGUUCCUGAGAGGAGGGUCAUCAUAAGAGAAACAUGGUGUGAGGGGCUGCAGGUACUUGCUGAGUUAAAGGAGUUUCGGAAUUAUAUAUGUAUAUCUCUAUAAUCUAAGAUAAAAUAUGAUUUAUUAUAAAAUAACUUUGCAAAUAUAAAUUUUUAAUUGUGUUACUACUUGUUGUCAUAUGAACAGUGAGUCAGUAGUAAUGCUUUUCAUUGAAGUUUCACAAAGAAAGGAUUCAUCAGACUGAUUCAAAACAAUAACUUCCAUCUGUUGCUGUUUUGUUCCUACAUCAAUAAUCCUGUCCUGACCUGGCUGAUG
rnacentral:lncRNA from 1 species